GAUUGGUGAUGGGGUGGACACGGGACCGAAGCUGAGCCAAUCAAAGUCCUUCCCUUUGAAACAGGACUGGAUAGAGGAAAACUUACUGGCAUCAUCACAAAACGGAAAGACGGUAAGCCUGCACCUGCCAGAGGUCGUGAUCCCAGCGUCCCGGGAACAGUCUAAGGAGGAGCCAACAAAUCCCCCUUCCUGAUUUCACCUGGUUUGAGCUGGGUUUCUGUCACUUGCGACCAAAAAAUCCCGACUGAUACACCUCAGCAUGAACGUACCUCGGCAGGAUUUGAGAGUUUUUGAGAUAAUGGGGGAAAUUUGAACACAGUCUGGAUAUUAUGUGACGUUAAGACAUUAUUAUUGCUUUACUUAAGCGUGAUAGUGGUAUUAUGGUUAUUUUAAAAAAUAUUUAUCUGUUAAGAAUACAUACUGAAGUAUUUCGGGGUGAAAUGAUUCAGUGUCUAGGAUUUGCUUUAAAAUAUCCCAGCAUCUGUGUCCCCCACUACCCCUAUAAAAGAGGGUAAGAUUUAUGAAAAAAGAAGGUCAGAUUGAUGAUAAUUAUAGAAGCUGGGAGAGGGUGUGUGGGAGUUUCUUAUCCUAUUCUCAAGUUUGAAAUAAUUCCAUUAAUGAAAAGUGAAAAAUAAAUAAGAAAAAUGACUAAGAAAGAAAGGGAAGGAAAGCUCUUCCUCGGAGAGGAAGCAAUGGUUUAGGAUUGAUGGGAAAGGAGAAGAAAGCAGAACAGCUCAUUCGUUCACUCAUUCAUCGAAUUCGACCCCCGCCGUGGGCUGGCGCUGAGCCCUGUGCUGGACACACGGGAAAACAGGACGUUGGUCGCCCCGCGCUCAGGGGGCUCCCGGCCGAGCAGAGACCAGGAGUAAAUUAUGCCGGGUUUGUGCAGUUCACAGAAGGCCGGGCACCGUGAGGACAGAAGCGGUUUUUCUCCAUCCCGGCCGGUUUGAAAGGGAAGGGCUUUGAUUGGCCCGGCCUCUGUCCAGUGCCCACCCGACCACCAAUCGCUGUGUCCAGGGGGCGAGGCCGGAGGCCACCGCGGGCUGAGUAGACCUGGAUGAAUCCCGCCGCGGGAGGCCCCUGGCCGGUUUGCAGGGAGCGGUGUGCGCUGGAAGGAAGAGGGACCUGGAGGCGAGGGACAGAACAGCCUCUGCCGGGGCCUUUGCCUUCGUGGAAAGAGGAAAGCCAUGUUACUCGGGGAUCAUCAUAGCUCUCAGAUUCCGAAAGCUUACGGUAUUAAGCGCUUCGUGUACAUCAUUUCGCGUGAUCCUCCAAACGCAGCUCUUUAAGGCAGAGACUGACCUUAUCCCCACUUUACAUUUGGAGAAACCGAGGCACAGAGCAGUUAAGCAGCUGCAGUGUUUGCAUCUGGUCACUGGAUUUUCCACGGCCGAGCGCCUGGUCUCUGCCGUCCACUGCCGCACAGAGGCAGCUGUGCAGGGGCCAGAUGUGUCCAGAUGGUCUCAUCAAGAUUUCUACCCUCAACUUGCUUAAAUCCUUCUUCAAGAAAAAGUGUCCUUGACAAAUAAGCAGAAGGAGGGGCGAGGGAGGGGGCAGGAGGGUGUGCAGACGAGGGUCACCCAACCCACAGCCACCGUGUGCAUUUUUGAUGCCCGGAAAAUUCCCGGAACUGGCCAGAGCUGCUGGGUGGAGAAGUGGGCAGUGGCCGCACGGUGCAGGGGCUGUGCCAGCUUCUGGACAGAGAAGCUACAACCCCUUCCCCUCCACCUUUUCCUCAGGGGGGCUCCUGACAGAGGCAGAGGACGUGGACACGGGGGGCCCGGAAAUGCCCCCUGUCCGGGGCUCAGGUCUGCUUCCUUGGGUCAUGGGACCGUGGCUGCUUCCCCUGUGGCAGCGGCACGCGACUGAGGCUGAAGCUUUCCUGCAGGCUUGCCCUUCCUCCCCCGGACUUCCUGGUCUGCCCAGGGAGAGUCCAGAGAGAGGAGCUGCGAAGAGAGGAAAGGGGCUGGGCGUAACAUCGCACGUGUGGCUGCGCUUGCUAGUGCAGCGACAACAGUGCCGUGUGGUGCACGCGGGGGCUCUGCAGCCAAAAAUGCCUGGACCCCGACUCGGCCUUGCAGCUUUCUAGCUGUGUGAUCUUGGCGGGGUUAAACAACCUCUCUUGACUCCAAUCUCUCUGCAAAAUGGAAGGAAUACUGGUGCAUCUGUCACAGGGGUGUCAUGAGGAUGAAUAAGCUAGUGCAUCAAACACACCGGCAGCAGCACCUGGCUGGAGUAAGUACUCAGUAAAAGAUCCUGCUACUCUCAGUACCCAGGUUUCUGUGGUAGUUUGUCAGGCAGCGAUGGAAAACGAACACACCACCCGUCUCUGCCAUUUUUCAAGGCUCACUCUGCCAAGCGUGGUAUGCUAAUGUUCUCGACCACUGGAGAAGGUUCCGAUGACAUCUGAGGCCUGGAGAAGUCACACAAGUUGCCCACGGCUAUUUGGCAGUGGAGGCAAAAUUUAAACCCAGGUGGUCUGCCACCAGGGCCCCCUCUCAGUUCCUGAGGCCGGCAAUAUUUUAAAAUAAAUAUGAAAACAUAGGCGUGAAAAGUUCUGAAAGGGUGCGCGUGCGCAUGCUGAGAUGAGAGGGGAUGGUUGGCUUCUGUGCUUUUCCUACAAUUUCUCAUUUCUUUUACAGUGAAUAUUAUCUUUUUUAACAGUCAGGUACAAAUACUUGGCAGCCAUGGUGACAAUCUCUGAGUGGUGGGGUUACAGGCCACUUUUUUUAUUUCAUUCUUUUAUAUUAUCUCAAUUCUCUAUGACAAUCUCAAUUGUUCACAAGAAAUGUGUGGCUGGUGCAAUUUUGAAAAUGUGCACGCCAGAGAAGACAAGUGAAUGCAUUUCAGAAUGCGAAAGCAGAAGGGGAAAAGGUGACAGUGCGGGGGGCCUGGCCCCAGACACUUGGCAGAAAGAGGGCUGGGGGCUGGAGCUUGAGCAAAGCUAGGGUCUCCUUCUAACAUGAAAUGUGGCUUCAGACCUUCCAGAAGAGGUGACUGUCUCACUGGCCCACCAACUGGGCUUUUGGUAAACAUUUGUAGCUACUUCUGCAAAUGUUGUCACCUGAAACUUUGUUAUUUUAAUUGGUAGCUCUUUCUGUGGGCUCCAGCUUGGAGAACAAAAGCUGUUCAGAAAUCGGGGCUGCAGGCAACUUUUCUCCUUGAAGGGAAAGUGGGGAAAGGUCUGUCUGUUCUCCAGCCCCAGCAAGCACGCUCCAGAGAGAGCUGACAUGUUGGUUUAACACCAACCAUUAAUUACUGAGUGCUUAUGGGCCCCAAGCUCUGUGCUCGGCCUUUCCGUGGAGUCUCUCAUUUGAUCCUCCCACAUCUGUACGAAGGGAGUCCUAGCACUGUUCCCAUUUCACAGAUGAGAAAGUGGAGGCUUAAGGAGAUCAAGUAAUAAUAAUAAUAAUACCAUAUUUCAUUAAAUCCCAGACACUCUAUAAUUUUAUGUGACACUAAGAAAAAAAUACCCCAGCUAUCAUUGUAAGACAGUAUUGACUAUAAGAUGAAUCCUGAUUCUAGAGACAUUAAAAUAUGCAUCUAAAAAACCUACGGCUAAAUGCAACGUGGUAUCUUGGGUUGGAUUCCAGAAUAGGAAUGAAGGACAUUCAUGGAAAAACUGGUGAAAUCCAAAAAUUCAUAGAACUGUACACCUAAAAAGGGUAGAUUUUAUUCUAUGUAAAUUAUUCCUCAAUAAAC
ensembl:lncRNA